CCUACGGGCGGCAGCAGUGGGGAAUAUUGCACAAUGGGGGGAACCCUGAUGCAGCGACGCCGCGUGGGUGAGGAAGUACUUCGGUAUGUAAAGCCCUAUCAGCAGGGAAGAAAAUGACGGUACUUGACUAAGACGCCCCGGCUACUUACGUGCCAGCAGCCGCGGUAAUACGUAGGGGCCAAGCGUUCUCCGGAUUUACUGGUGGAAAGGGGAGCGUAGACGGCGGGCCAAGUCUGAUGUGAAAGGCCGGGGCUCAACCCCGGGACUGCAUUGGAAACUGGCAUGCUGGAGUGCCGGAGGGGCAAGCGGAAUUCCUAGUGUAGCGGUGAAAUGCGUAGAUAUUAGGAGGAACAUCGGUGGCGAAGGCGGCUUGCUGGACGGUAACUGACGUUGAGGCUCGAAAGCGGGGGGAGCAAACAGGAUUAGAUACCCCAGUAGUC
rnacentral:rRNA from 1 species